GGAGGUGUGGAGGGACUUGCUGUCUCUUUCCCAUUGCCUGUUCCCAUCUGAAACCUCAUAGCUCUGACUUCUAUGAUCCCUUUGGAAUUUGAAAGUGACCUUUC